AUACAGAGGGUGCGAGCGUUAAUCGGAAUUACUGGGCGUAAAGCGCGCGUAGGCGGCUGAUUAAGUCAGAUGUGAAAUCCCCGUGCUCAACCUGGGAACUGCAUCUGAUACUGGUAAGCUAGAGUUUUGGAGAGGGAAGUAGAAUUUCAGGUGUAGCGGUGAAAUGCAUAGAGAUCUGAAGGAAUACCAGUGGCGAAGGCGACUUCCUGGCCAAAAACUGACGCUGAGGUGCGAAAGCGUGGGUAGCAAACGGGAUUAGAAACCCUAGUAGUCC
rnacentral:rRNA from 1 species